rnacentral:tRNA from 1 species
UGGGGCUUUAGCUCAGCUGGGAGAGCGCUUGAAUGGCAUUCAAGAGGUCAGCGGUUCGAUCCCGCUAAGCUCCAU